rnacentral:rRNA from 1 species
GACGAACGCUGGCGGCGUGCCUAACACAUGCAAGUCGAACGGAGAUACGAUUUCGGUUGUAUCUUAGUGGCGAACGGGUGAGUAACGCGUGAGCAACCUGACUCUUAGAGGGGGAUAACACCUGGAAACAAGUGCUAAUACCGCAUAAGACCACGACCCGACAUCGGGAUGAGGUCAAAGGAGCAAUCCGCUGAGAGAGGGGCUCGCGUCCCAUUAGAUAGAUGGCGGGGUAACGGCCCACCAUGUCCGCGAUGGGUAGCCGAGCUGAGAGGCUGAUCGGCCACACUGGAACUGAGACACGGUCCAGACUCCUACGGGAGGCAGCAGUGGGGAAUAUUGGGCAAUGGGCGCAAGCCUGACCCAGCAACGCCGCGUGAGGGAAGAAGGCUUUCGGGUUGUAAACCUCUGUCCUUGGUGACGAAAAAAUGACGGUAGCCAAGGAGGAAGCCCCGGCUAACUACGUG